CGCCGGAUCGGUUGAACUAAGCCAUGCGAGUCAUUGUAGUAAUACAAGGCAGACGGCUCAGUAACGCGUAGUCAACCUAACCUAUGGACGGGAAUAACCUCGGGAAACUGAGUAUAAUGCCCGAUAGAACAUUAUGCCUGGAAUGGUUUAUGUUCCAAAUGAUUUAUCGCCGUAGGAUGGGACUGCGGCCUAUCAGUUUGUUGGUGAGGUAAUGGCCCACCAAGACUAUUACAGGUACGGGCUCUGAGAGGAGUAGCCCGGAGAUGGGUACUGAGACACGGACCCAGGCCCUAUGGGGCGCAGCAGGCGAGGAGACUUUGCAAUGUGCGAAAGCACGACAAGGUUAAUCCGAGUGGUUUCUGCUAAAGGAACCUUUUGUCGGUCCUAGAAACACUGAUGAAUAAGGGGUGGGCAAGUUCUGGUGUCAGCCGCCGCGGUAAAACCAGCACCUCAAGUGGUCAGGAUGAUUAUUGGGCCUAAAGCAUCCGUAGCCGGCUCUGUUAGUUUUCGGUUAAAUCUGUACGCUCAACGUACAGGCUGCCGGGAAUACUGCAGAGCUAGGGAGUGGGAGAGGUAGACGGUACUCGGUAGGAAGGGGUAAAAUCCUUUGAUCUAUUGAUGACCACCUGUGGCGAAGGCGGUCUACCAGAACACGUCCGACGGUGAGGGAUGAAAGCUGGGGGAGCAAACCGGAUUAGAUACCCGGGUAGUCCCAGCUGUAAACUAUGCAAACUCAGUGAUGCAUUGGCUUGUGGCCAAUGCAGUGCUGCAGGGAAGCCCGUUAGUUUGCCGCCUGGGGAGUACGUACGCCAGUAUGAAACUCAAAGGGAUUGACGGAAU
rnacentral:rRNA from 1 species